AUACGUAGGGGGCGAGCGUUGUCCGGAAUGAUUGGGCGUAAAGGGCGCGUAGGCGGCUUUGCAAGUCAGUAGUGGAAGUCCAUUUUUCAAGGAUGGAAGUGCUACAGAAACUGCGGAGCUUGAGUGCAGGAGAGGUUAUCGGAAUUCCCGGUGUAGCGGUGAAAUGCGUAGAGAUCGGGAGGGACACCAGUGGCGAAGGCGGGUAAAUGGACUGCAACUGACGCUGAGGCGCGAAAGUGUGUGGAUCAAACAGGAAUAGAUACCCUGGUAGUCCACACUGUAAACGAUGAAUGCUAGGUGUAGGAGGUAUCGACCCCUUCUGUGCCGCAGUAAACACAGUAAGCAUUCCGCCUGGGGAGUACGGUCGCAAGAUAAAAACUCAAAGGAAUUGACGGGG
rnacentral:rRNA from 1 species